CAGUAGCCGCGGGAAUACGUAGGGUGCAAGCGUUAAUCGGAAUUACUGGGCGUAAAGCGUGCGCAGGCGGUUUGUUAAGACAGAUGUGAAAUCCCCGGGCUUAACCUGGGAACUGCAUUUGUGACUGGCAAGCUAGAGUAUGGCAGAGGGGGGUGGAAUUCCGCGUGUAGCAGUGAAAUGCGUAGAUAUGCGGAGGAACACCGAUGGCGAAGGCAGCCCCCUGGGCCAAUACUGACGCUCAUGCACGAAAGCGUGGGGAGCAAACAGGAUUAGAUACCCCUGUAGUCCCUGUCUCUUAUAC
rnacentral:rRNA from 1 species